UGAGGAAUAUUGGACAAUGGAUGGAAAUCUGAUCCAGCCAUGCCGCGUGCAGGAAGAAUGUCCUAUGGAUUGUAAACUGCUUUUGUAUGGGAGCAAUAAGGUCUUCGUGAAGGCCGAUGAGAGUACCAUACGAAUAAGCACCGGCUAACUCCGUGCCAGCAGCCGCGGUAAUACGGAGGGUGCAAGCGUUAUCCGGAUUUAUUGGGUUUAAAGGGUGCGUAGGCGGUUAUAUAAGUCAGCGGUGAAAUUUUUCGGCUCAACCGGAAACAUGCCGUUGAUACUGUAUAGCUUGAAUAUGGUUGCUGUGAGUGGAAUGUGUAGUGUAGCGGUGAAAUGCUUAGAUAUUACACAGAAUAUCGAUUGCGAAGGCAACUCACAAAGCCAUUAUUGACGCUGAGGC
rnacentral:rRNA from 1 species